rnacentral:tRNA from 1 species
ACUUUAUGAGUAUUACGUACAUUUGCCUUCCAAGCAAAAAGUUUGAUUAAUUUCAAAUAAAGUA